AGAGUUAAAAAUGGAGGCGUAACUCCAAUUUUUGUUCGUGGUUCCGAGAAUAUCGCAUUAAUUAGAAUGACACAUAGUGUUUAAGCAAGGCCUAUCAUAUUCUUGUCACAACGUGAAGGUGUAAGUCCUCCUGGCUUUGAUAAAACAGCCCCCGAGGGUGUAGAUUUUCAAACGCAGAAUUCCCCUCAUUCAAUCAGACAUGAGUAAGAUGCGUAGGCGGUUGAUUUCAUCAUCAAGGGAUGAUGCAGACAUCCAGUUUUCAAUUUAAAUCACAUUUAUGUUGGAUUUUAUAGGUUUGGACAACUUAUCCAGAAUUACGUUGUUCACAGGAAGGUGUCGCAUGGUGUCAGUGGUCAUCCAGAGUGAAGAAGGGACUUUACAUGCUGUGUGUCUGUGGUAUUUACUUGUGUGAUUGAAGACACAAGGUCAGUGGUAUCCUAGUGGUUUAGGCAUUGGGAUGAUAUCAUAAAUGUUCUGGGUUUAAUCCCAGAUCACACUUCUCUUGUGACCUAUCACAAAACACUUAACUUCAGGUUUAUAGUUCCUCACAUGUCUGUAAAAAUAAAGAAAGAAAUAAACCACAAUGAAAUGACUCUCAUAUUGAGAUCACAUUUAAGUUCAUGCCAGAAUGAUCUGCUCAUCAUGAGUCACAAUCAUGCUUUGCUCAUACUUUUUUUUUUUGGCUUUUUGUUUUACAUUAUAUUAUUGCAUCACAGCCUAGCUGUAUAAAUAGCUGAAUUUAUACAACUUCUAGGGAAAUUAUUAAGAAAUCGGAACUGACAAUUUAAGUCAGUCUAAAACUAUCUGGUUAAUUAUAACAACAUCCGUUUAGUCAUAGAGUUCUACCACAGAUACACCCACAGAUGCUUAAAAAUGGCAAGAGCUCACUUAAAACUGCAAGCCUCCAGUCAUAAUAGAUGAUGUUUUGCAAUGACCAGGAGUCAGGAAAUGCACAGGAAACAUGGAUGUUUACAAGAAACCAAGCUGCAACAAUUAGCACGUCUGAGGAAGAGGUUAAUAAUUGAAGACAAUGAGUCUAUGCAAGAUAUUGAAAAGUUUGAGGUGCCUUGUUGCAACAGUCCUUCAGUACACCAGUAUAUUCCACAAGGCUUUCAGAGUCAUGUAUUGACUAUAUAUUUGACUAUAUAUUUCCAAACAUUCGAAAUAUUUGGAAAACUUCAGAAAUCAUUCUAAUAUGCUGAUGUGCUGCUCAUAAAGCAUUUCUUAUUAUCAUCAAUGUUAAAAAAACAGCUGCUCCAUAUUUCAGAUUCUUUGAUGAAAAAAAGAAUAACAUUAUAAAUGCCUUUAGUGUCACUUUUGAUCACUUUAAUGCAUCCUUGCUGAAUAAAAGGAUUGUAUAUUAUGCAGUGUUUUACAAAAGCAGUAAGGUAUGAGAGGCUGUUCUAUGUUGUAAACUCUGCUGCCUUGUUGUUGCUUAAUUAUGCAUUACAAUAAAUAUCAUGAGCUCAUAA